UAUGUGAUCGUCUCUCGCAUAUCAAUAAGCGGAGGAAAAGAAACUAACAAGGAUUCCCCUAGUAACGGCGAGUGAAGCGGGAAGAGCUCAAAUUUGAAAUCUUAAAGGGUUUCCCUUUACGAAUUGUAGUUUAAAGAAGUGUUUUCUGUUGAGGUUUUGGUAAAAGUUCUUUGGAAUAGGACAUCAUAGAGGGUGAGAAUCCCGUAUUUGACCUUUACUUUCAACUUUGUGAUACACUUUCAAAGAGUCGGAUUGUUUGGGAAUGCAGUCCAAAAUGGGUGGUAAAUUUCAUCUAAAGCUAAAUAUUGGCGAGAGACCGAUAGCGAACAAGUACCGUGAGGGAAAGAUGAAAAGAACUUUGAAAAGAGAGUUAAACAGUACGUGAAAUUGUCAAAAGGGAAGCGUUUGACACCAGCGUUGUUUUUCUGAAAAUCAAUUAAAGAACUGUUUAUGCUAAGCUGUUUAGACUUUAUCAGCUAAUCUGUUUAGUUUUGAGCUUUUCUUUAAUGCACUUUUCAGUUAACAAGUCAACAUCAAUUUCUUUUGCUGUAAAAAAGCUUGAGGAAGGUGGCUUGAGAUUCGUCUUAAGUAGUUUAUAGCCUCUUGCCUAUGCAGUCGGAGAGAUUGAGGUCUGCAGCGUAGAUCCUUCGGGGCUAAAUGCAUUUGUGCUAAGUUAUAGCAUUUUAUAGACAACUUGUUGACUAUGAUUUGUCUUGUAGCUUACUCGCUUAUGUUAUUUUACCUACGCUUAGGAUGUUGAGUAGCGACAUACGCAC
rnacentral:rRNA from 1 species